rnacentral:tRNA from 1 species
GCCCUGGUGGGACAGUGGUUACAGCACUUGGCUGCUAACCAAAAGGUCGGUGGUUCAAAUCCACCAGGCA